GGGCCAGCGGCUCCCGCGCCCGCUAUCGGGAUGCGCCCGGUGUAACCCAAUCACCUCGCUCGCUGUGCGGCGCCGCGUCCUGGAGAUGGGAGCCCAGCCGCUCCUUCCCGGAGAUGAAGCAGAGAGCCGAGCAGGCUCUGGGCUCCAGCUGGCAAGCUACAUGACUGCAUCAUCGAGCCAUGCGCGCUCCCGCAGCAGCCCUGUCCUUGCCAACACUUUCUUUGCUUAGCAAUGCCUCAGAUCUUCUUUUCCAGUUUCAAGGCUCCUGUCCCCAUAUCCACUCCAGCUUCUUCGGACAACUCCAGCUCCCUCAGCUAAAAUGUUCUGUGUAUCCUGAGAAUUUUACAGCCUAGUGCUCGCCACUUAUCUUGCUCAGCAGGCUGCUUUCGCACUGAAGGGACGCGCUCUCAAGACCUAGAGAGAGGAAAUCCUGAGACAACUAAACAAGCAAAGCAGGAAGGCAGCGCAUACCAACAUCACUUGCACCCAGCGCCGUUCCCCUUAUCACAUCAUUCAAGUGCAAGGCAGAGGAAGUGAGAGCUGAAGAGAACAGAGCACUAAUGUUGGCUGCACUUAGAUCAAACUGGAGUGGGGAACAUCGGUUCCAUCAAGGGGAACCUGAAGCCUGUGGCCUCCCUAAAGAACCCAGAGCAUGUUUGGAUUUGUGGAACGUUUACUCAGUAUCACCGGGCUGUUUCUAUGGUGACAAAAUUGUGAAGAAGAUGCUCCUGGUGUUGUUUUUCCCACCAUGUCUGAGUAUCUUUGGUCCUGUCACCGUUUUCUUUUACUCUGAGGCACUUAGUCCUUUUCCUAUCAUGCUCUUUAAUGUUAACGAGGGCCUAACAGCCACUUCCUCAACUUACAAAGCCCAGGAUUCUUUUUUUUUUUCCAGAGCUGGGGACUGAACCCAGGGCCUUGGGCUUGCUAGGCAAGCGCUUUACCAAUGAGCUAAAUCCCCAACCCCAAAGCCCAGGAUUCUUAUUGCUUUGGUGUUUGAUAAUAACACUCUCUGGGCUGCUUCAAGAUGUAAAGAGCUUAGCUCUGAAAGAAGGAAGGGCAUAUGUGCAGGGCUGUAGGGAACUUUACAUGUAAAACAAGAACGUGGCCCAUAUAUAGUGACUUACUGAACAAUAAUGGCGGAGCGGUGUGACAGCUACCCCUUCCUUCUAUCCCCACCAUCCUGUAUAUGGAAUUACCAUCCAAACCUUCAAAGGUGUUCAAUUUCACUGACUGAAUAAAAAGUGGCUUUACUAAAGAUAAUAUAAAGAUUAUCUUUAUAAUAUUAUAUGAUAUAUAUAUACAUAUAUAUAAAGACCCUUGUAUGUGUUACAUAAGCCACCCCUGAUCAUUCUCUCUUCUCAAUAAACUUGUACAUAUGUGUGCUACA